CCUACGGGCGGCAGCAGUGGGGAAUAUUGCACAAUGGGGGAAACCCUGAUGCAGCGACGCCGCGUGAGUGAAGAAGUAUUUCGGUAUGUAAAGCUCUAUCAGCAGGGAAGAAAAAAGACGGUACCUGACUAAGAAGCCCCGGCUAACUACGUGCCAGCAGCCGCGGUAAUACGUAGGGGGCAAGCGUUAUCCGGAUUUACUGGGUGUAAAGGGAGCGUAGACGGCCUGGCAAGUCUGAAGUGAAAGGGAGGGGCUUAACCCCUGAACUGCUUUGGAAACUGGCAUGCUAGAGUGCUGGAGAGGUAAGUGGAAUGCCUGGUGUAGCGGUGAAAUGCGUAGAUAUUAGGAGGAACACCGGUGGCGAAGGCAGCUUACUGGACAGUAACUGACGUUGAGGCUCGAAAGCGUGGGGAUCAAACAGGAUUAGAUACCCCGGUAGUC
rnacentral:rRNA from 1 species